UACGUAGGUGGCAAGCGUUGUCCGGAUUUACUGGGCGUAAAGGGCGUGCAGGCGGUCUGUUAAGUUCAGGGUGAAAGCUCCCGGCUCAACUGGGAGAGGUCCUUGGAUACUGGCAGACUUGAGGGAGGUAGAGGAGAGUGGAAUUCCCGGUGUAGUGGUGAUAUGCGUAGAUAUCGGGAGGAACACCAGUGGCGAAGGCGGCUCUCUGGGCCUUUCCUGACGCUGAGACGCGAAAGCGCGGGGAGCGAACCGG
rnacentral:rRNA from 1 species